AUUUCACAUCUCUCAACCACUGCCUCCUACAGCGUUACGUUACAAUUGCUCAGACGAGUCCUUUUACAGACUUGCAACGUACACAAUGGCAAGGUUUUUGGAAUAACAUGAGAAGAUGAAACUGAGUAUAAAGGGAGGAUGAUACACUCACUCUUUUUUCCCUCACGGGCACCACCCUCACCUUCUUUCCCACUCUCUACACUCUAACUGAAUUCUCUCACCCAAGAUCAAUGACCACAUUAUUUGCCUUUAAGCUAUACCAUGAGUUAUCCCUAGCACCAAUUGCUCAACCACUCUUUCACUUUCAUCUCUUCCUCUCAUGUUCUUUUCUCUCAUACCCAGCACAUACACCCCCUCACAUAUAUAUCACCCUCCUCACACAGCAUAAAAAAAAAAAAGCAUCACCUAUUGGCAGCUAGCUAUGCAAAUAUGAAACACCACAAGUGAUAGAAAGUUUUCCACCCACUUACCCGUUCCAACACUUGGAUCAUACAGUAACUAUAUGGAUUUGGUUAGAGGAAUAGAUUAUCAUCUAAUUAUGUUCUCUCUACCUAGCUAGACAUCAAAUUUAUGAACAAAAAUAAAUCUAUGGAAGAACUCUCUGCAAAAACUGUUGCUGUGAACAUUAUUUGUCGGCUUAUUAUCUUCCAUUAUUCUAAAUGAGUUCUGGAAAAGCCAUGCGUAUAGAGGUUUUCUAGAGUUGUUGUACAGAAAGAGAGAAAUCGGAAGAGUUCCUUGCCGUGACAACUGACAAGGCAAAUAUGAAGAGAGGGCCAUGGUUAAAUUCCACCACUGCUUCUGAUCCUCCAGUGCAAACUCAGAAUCCCUGAAGCAGCAGAAGUUGUUGUGCCAGCCAUUUCCUCACUGGUCAGGUAGUUAGACAACUGAAACAACUGGGAUUUCUUCUGGAACAGUUUCUGUAGGAUCUAAUUCAUCUCCCUUAUAUGUUUCCACAGGUUAAUGAGAGUGCUUUUCCUUUUUUUCUCAAUUUAAAAGGCUAAAAAUGAUAGAAAUGGAAUUUGACCUCAGAACAUCCAUGAACUAGUGCCCAAACUCAUGAAUCUGUUAGGCUUGUAUCGGGAAUUUAAUUAUAUUUUUUUUAAUAUAAAUAUAGGAGAGUUCUUUUGAUGUUUUCAUAAUAGAGUUCUGUGUGGGAAGAGAGGGGAGUAGCGACAACAUAGUAUUUUUCCAUUAUAAAAGGCCUGGUACAUGAAUCAAAUAAUGCUAUGGGCUCUGUUAGAACUAAGUUUUCAAUAAAUCCAUUUAGAGUAAACUCUUUUCAAAUGGUUUUUCAGUAAGUUUUCUUUGAUCUUCAUCUGGCCUUUUGAUUCCACCACUGCAUUUUUAUUAUUAAUUAAAAAAAUCAACACCUUUUUUCAACACAUUCUUACUAUUAAUUAUUAAUUAAACAAAUUCAACGCAUUUUUAUGUUAUUUUUUAUAUUUUCUUUACUAUUAUUUUUUAUAUUAGCUGCAUCAAAUGUAUCAUUGAUGCGUUAAUGCCUCCUGUUGCAGCUAUAUUGUAACAAAACAUAGUAUCAUUGGGCUGUGUAUCUAAUUCUAGCAUGAUCCAGAGUAAUUGAUAUGAAAUUGUAAGCAGGCCAUUCCUCAUCAAGCAUGUCACCUAAAUUUAUUGGGGUUUAUAAUAAUACUUAUGGUUGAUUAUUUCACCCCUUGACUGGGUGACAUUUCUCAACUUCUCUUUUCAAUGGAUAGAAGGAAUCCUAUCCUUAUUUUUUCAUAUGGGAUCCCUUUUAUCCACUCGAAAGAGGGGUUGAAAAAUGUCGUCAGGCCAAGGUACAAAAUAAACACUCAUAAGUAUUAUAACCUCGAUGAAUUUAGGUAAUAUGCUUGAAGAGGAGUGGUCGAUCUGCUUACGAUUUCAUAUCAACAACUCUGGAUCCCACUAGAAUUAGCUACACACUACAACCCAAUGAAACUAUGUUUUGUUAUAAUAUAGCUACACCAGGAGGCAUUAGCAUCAAUGGUACAUUUGAUGCAACUAAUGAAGCCUAUCUCUAUGUAUGAAUAAGAAGUCAGCUUUGUCGACAAGAUUUCUACUAGCUACAACCACUUUGUUACCCCUUUCACUAAUGCAGAGCCUAAAACACUUUUAGAGUUGGUUCAAGGGGUAAGAAUUGAAAACCUCUUCUUUGAUAACAACGCCAAUGCCCACAUUUUUGGAUUGGAUGACUGACUAUUUCUCUAAUGUUAGACUUUCAUUAUGCUUCCAUUCUGUAACAUUCAAGUAAGAAGGGUUGGAUGGUGAUUAAAAUAGAUCUAGAAAAAGCCUAUGAUAGAUUGAACUAUACGUUGGAUAGAGAAACACUACAGGAUAUUGGCCUUCCUAAUUCUUUCUUGGAUCUAGUUUGGACUUGCAUUAUUACUCCUAGUAUGUGUAUGCUCUAGAAUAGAGAUGUUCUUAAGGAGUUUUGUCCUUCUCGUGUCAUAAAACAAGGAGAUCCUUUUCCUCAUUAUCUCUCUAUCUUAUGCAUGGAAAGAUUAUCCCAUAUUAUUAAUUUGUUGGUGGAUCAUAAAUUAUGGAUGCCCUUUCGUAUUUCAAGACGAAGGCCUUACUUGUCUCAUUUAGCCUUUGCUAAUGACCUUAUUCUAAUUAGUAAGGUUUCUUUGAACCGGGUGGAUAAUAUUCAAAAUUUUCUCAAAAUUUUUGGCAACAACUCAAGACAAGCGGUUAGACAAGAAAAAACCAAUAUCUUUUUCUCUAACAAUAUUCCCUUUAAUGUAAAUUAAAAUCCAAAUUAGUGAUGCCUUUGACUUUCAAAGAACUGAUAAUCUAGGAAAGUAUCUCGAGGUUUCUCUCUUGCACCACAAGGUAAAUCGAGUUACGUAUUAAGCAGUUUUGGAUAAUAUGAACCAACGACUAAGUAGCUAGAAGGAUAAACAACUUUCUUUUGUUGGGAGGUUAACUCUUACUAAAUCAGUUUUGGCAACUUUAGCUUCAUAUACCAUGCAAACAAUCUUCUUACCUCGCCUUCUUUGUAAGGACCUAAAUAAGAAGUCUAGAGGGUUCAUAUGGGGCGACAUUGAUGACCAAAGGAAUAUUCAUAUGGUGGCUUGGGAGAACAUCUUCAAACCCAAAUGUGAAGAAGGAUUAGGCAUUCAUUCAUCUCGCCAUGCAAAUAAAACAUUUAUGGUGAAAAGUUGUUGACAAAUUUGUACUUUUCUUAAUAAGUUGCAGGUCCACAUGGUCAAAUUAAAGUAUAUAUAAAUGAGGUUGAGAUGUGCUCCCUCUUAUAUCUAACUGUCCUAAUAGCCCCAACUUGACGUGGCAUGUUAGGGAUGGCAAUAAAACCAACUUCUGGAUGGAUUUGUGGCUUCCUAAAGUGGAUUAAUGAUAACCUGGUUGUCCAAAGUUUGCAUGGAACCAUCAAAAUAUCACUUUUGUAGUGUCUCUUUAUGCCAUUUGGUUCAUAAGAAGUAAUUUUGUGUUUCAUCAUCUUUUGUAGUUUUCAGUUUGGCCCAACUCAAUGUAACCUUUGUGGCAAAAUUGGACAUCAAGUGUUCAAAUGCAUCCAUAAGAAGACAGAAAAAGUUAGAAAGGCUGAGUACUUUUUUUUAGGACCCAAAAAUAUUUGGGUAUCAAAAUCUCAAACUAUUCCUAUUACAUUUAUCAUUGGUAGGAAAAGGGUAUGGUUUAAGCUCGUACCUAAAAAGUGGGUGCUCAAGGCACAAGACGAGGAAAAGGUCUAUGUUCCUAGACCUAAAAUCACUUGAAGGAGGAUUUGUCACCUUUGAAGGGAUGGGUAAAGAAGGCACUGUUGGUAAAGGAAAAAUUGGUAAGACUCGACUACCCACCAUAGAUAACAUCUUAUGUGUUGAAGGAAUCAAAUAUAAUUUGUGAAGCGUAAGUCAUUUUUUGCGAAAGUGGUUGCUCAAGGCACUGUUAGGAAAGGCAAAAUUGGUAAGCUCUCUCUAAAAGUGACAAUUUCUUACUUUUAUUGUGGUUCAUGCUCUAGAGAUGGUAAAAGGAAGCUGAUAGGGGCUGUUGAAUGAUGUGGUUGCUAAAUGUGUAGACUCUUAAGGUAGAAAGCCAGAGCACCAAGGGCUAACACUAUAGUAAGAUAUUGAACUUUAGUUGUAAAUAAUGGCAUUUUGGUUGUGUCUAUUUAUAUGAAUAAAACUCUGUUCUUGCUUUUAAAUAGCAUUUUCCUAUGAAAAUAUGAAUUGGUCCUCUAAGUAAUAAGAAAUUAAAUGUAAGACUAUUGCAAUUUCUUAUUUCUCUUUGAUUUUCUUAUAUUCAUUAAUUAUUAACUAACUUUGUUUUUCUUAGUCUUAAAUUACUCAUGUUUAUGUCCUCAACAAAUUUUUCUUCCAGAUUAGUUCUACAAGAAGUUCUAGACCAGAAGAGUGCAUUUCCAUGCUAUAUUUUGGAAUGUUACCUUAAUUCAUCAUGCUAUGCAAUAUGCACACUGAUUGUGAUCGUAGUUUUUGCUUCUCAAUUAGAUAGUGUUAAGACCAAAUUCUAUCAAACUUUGUGAUUUAAAUUUUGUAAAAUUUGGUGAUAAAUAUAAGUGGCAAAACAUUGAGGGAUGUAAUAUGGCUUGAGCUAUUUAGGGGCAUUGGGAUUAGAUUUUAAAUUAAAAUUGUAAUUUUUUUUUAAAAAAAAAA